rnacentral:rRNA from 1 species
ACUCCUACGGGAGGCAGCAGUGGGAAUCUUGCACAAUGGGCGAAAGCCUGAUGCAGCGACGCCGCGUGGGGGAUGAAGGCCCUAGGGUCGUAAACCCCUUUCAGUAGGGACGAAAAUGACGGUCACCUACAGCAAGAAGCCCCGGCCAACUACGUGCCAGCAGCCGCGGUAAGACGUAGGGGCGAGCGUUGUCCGGAUUUAUUGGGCGUAAAGGGCUCGUAGGUGGUUGCGUAAGUCGGAUGUGAAAACUCCAGGCUCAACUUGGAGACGCCAUCCGAUACUGCGCUGACUUGAGUUCGGUAGAGGAGUGUGGAAUUUCUAGUGUAGCGGUGAAAUGCGCAGAUAUUAGAAGGAACACCUAUUGCGAAGGCAGCACUCUGGGCCGGCACUGACACUGAGGAGCGAAAGCGUGGGUAGCAAACAGGAUUACAUACCCUGGUAGGCUCUGCU